UACGUAGGGCGCAAGCGUUAUCCGGAAUUAUUGGGCGUAAAGAGCUCGUAGGCGGUUCGUCGCGUCGGCUGUGAAAUCCCGAGGCUCAACCUCGGGUCUGCAGUCGAUACGGGCGGACUGGAGUUCGGCAGGGGAGACUGGAAUUCCUGGUGUAGCGGUGAAAUGCGCAGAUAUCAGGAGGAACACCGGUGGCGAAGGCGGGUCUCUGGGCCGAUACUGACGCUGAGGAGCGAAAGCGUGGGGAGCGAACAGG
rnacentral:rRNA from 1 species